rnacentral:rRNA from 1 species
CUGGUGCCAGCAGCCGCGGUAAUUCCAGCUCUGCGAAGGAACGUAUAAAUUGUUGCAGUUAAAAAACGCGUAGCAGUGUGUCGCCCUGGUUGUGUAGGGUUUGCCCUCCUUUUGGGGGGUGGAUCCUAUGCGCAGGGCUUUGGCUCUCGUGCCGUGCCCCGCGAGGGGUGCGGAGUACGGAGCCACCAUUACUGUGAGUAAAUCGGAACGCUCAAAGUGGGUAAUCGCUUGAACGCUUCUCAUGGAAUAAUCCCUUUAAGACAUUAAAGGUUGAUUGGUUUCCUUUAAAGUCUUUUCAAACAGGAACAGGUGGGGGAGAUCGUACCUUGCAGCUAGAGGUGAAAUUCUUUGAUUUGCAAGAGACGAACAACAGCGAAGGCAUUCUCCAAAAAUGUUUUCAUUUGUCAAGCGUGAAAGCCGGAGGAUCGAAGAAGAUUAGAUACCUUUGUAGUUCCGGCCCUAAACGAUGCCGACUCGGGAUUAGAGGUCGUUAUUUUGACUCCUCUAGUACCGUAUGAGAAAUCAAAGUCUUUGGGUUCCGGGGGGAGUAUGAUCGCAAGGUUGAAACUUAAAGAAAUUGACGGAAGGGCACACCAGUAGUGGAGCCUGCGGUUUAAUUUGACUCAACACGGGGAAACUCACCAGGUCCAGACAUGAGAAGGAUUGACAGUUUGAAAGCACUUUCUUGAUUUUAUGGGUGGUGGUGCAUGGCCGUUCUUAGUUGGUGGAGUGAUUUGUCUGGUUGAUUCCGAUAACGAACGAGACCCGGACUGGUAAAUAGCCCGCAUUAACUUUCGUUAGUGCGCUGGCUUCUUACUGGGACAACUCGCUUUUAGCGAGAGGAAGCGCCGGGCAAUAACAGGUCUGUGAUGCCCUUAGAUGUUCUGGGCUACACGCGCGCUACAAUGAUGGCUUCAACGAGUUUUUGCUUGCCCGGAAGGGCUCGCUAAUCUUUUCAAUGGCCAUCGUGAUGGGGCUAGAUUCUUGUAAUUAUUAAUCUUCAACGAGGAAUUACUAGUAUGUGCGGUUCAUCAGACCGCGCAGAAUGCGUCCCUGCCCUUUGUACACACCGCCCGUCGCAGCUACCGAUGAGUCAUUUCGUGAGGGCUUUGGAGAGGUCCGGCUUGGCUUCGGUCAGGUUGGAUCUCGAAGCUGCUCAAACGACACGAUUUAGAGGAAGCUGAAGUCGUAACAAGGUCUCCGUAGGUGAACCUGCGGAGG